rnacentral:rRNA from 1 species
AUUGAACGCUGGCGGCAGGCCUAACACAUGCAAGUCGAACGAGUGGCGGACGGGUUAGUAAUGUCUGGGAAACUUCCUGAUGGAUGGGGAUCACUACUGGAAACGGUAGCUACUACCGCAUACCAUCAGAUGUGCCCAGAUGGGAGUAGCUAGUUGGUGGGGUAACGGCUCACCAAGGCGACUAUCCCUAGCUGGUCUGAGAGGAUGACCAGGCACACUGGAACUGAGACACGGUCCAGACUCCGACGGGAGGCAGCAGUGGGGAAUAUUGGACAAUGGGCGAAAGCCUGAUACAGCCAUGCCGCGUGUAUGAAGAAGGCCUUCGGAUUGUAAAGUACUUUCAGCGGGGAGGCGUUACCCACAGAAGAAGCACCGGCUAACUCCGUGCCAGCAGCCGCGGUAAUUC